rnacentral:rRNA from 1 species
AUUGAACGCUGGAGGCAGGCCUAACACAUGCAAGUCGAACGAGUGGCGGACGGGUGAGUAAUGUCUGGGAAACUGCCUGCUGGAGGGGGAUAACUACUGGACACGGUAGCUAAUACCGCAUACCAUCAGAUGUGCCCAGAUGGGAUUAGCUAGUUGGUGGGGUAACGGCUCACCAAGGCGACGAGCCCUAGCUGGUCUGAGAGGAGGACCAGCCACACGGGAAUUGCGACACGGUCCCUACUCCUACGGGAGGAAGCAGUGGUGAAUAUUGCACAAUGGGCGCAAGCCUGAUGCAGCCAUGCCGCGGGUAUGAAGAAGGCCUUCGGGUUGUAAAGUACUUGCAGCGGGGAGGCGUUACCCGCAGAAGAAGCACCGGCUAACGCCGUGCCAGCAGCCGCGGUAAGAC